GGAGAUAUUGCUCAAUGGUAGAGCACUUGCCUACUAUGUGUGAGGCUCUGAGUUCAAUUCCCAGUAUAGCAA
rnacentral:tRNA from 1 species